CAUUUUCCCCAGACUUGGCAGAAACAGUAAAAUACCUAAGAAGAAAAAAUAUUUUAUUGUUCAUAUCAUAACCAUUCGGCAUUCAUGACUAAAUAAAUGUAGUUUAGUUUUUAAUUUAGUUUAGUUCAUUUGGUCAUGACACCAUUAUGCAUUAAACAAUAAUAAUUAAAAUAUUAAAUGAAGUAGACAAUUAGUGUGACACAUCAUUGGGGAUUCAAUGCAGGAGCAGGACUAAAUAAUAGUUUUGACUUCUGUUUUUCUGCCCUAUUCAUUUCUCGUAUACGUAUAUACAUUCUUGUACGGACCAGGCAUUCUAUGACUUCAUUUGGUAUCAUUAUGCAUUUUUCAUUUACAUGCUGAUUAACUAUAGUGGUUAAUUUUUUUACGAUACCCCUUUCAUUAUCAAAUGCUUGCAUAAAAAUGGUUUCAAGGACUUUUGACACAUUCCAAAGAUCUUUUGAUGGACACAUUACUGGAAUGCAGAAUACAAACUACAAAAUAUAACCUUUUGAUAUAUAAGACAUCCAUGAUCCACUUUCAAUAUUUGUUUCAUUGUUAUUAUCCUCUAGGAAUGGAUAUUUAUUUUUAAAUUUUUUUGCUACAGAACCAGAUAUGUACAUCAAAUUAUCUUCCUCGCAUGGAUCUUUUGCAGUGUAUAAUUCUUCAACAGUUGUCUAAAACCACAAUGUUUCCGUUACAGUAGAUUCUUCUAAUAUUUCAGAAGUCUGAAAUAUCUGAGCUGUAAGUGGUGUGUCCUUUUCAUUAAAUUUAUCAUUUGAUUCCAGUAAACAAUUUUCAUUUAUAGAAUCUUCAGUGUUACUAUUUUUUAUGAAAAAUGCUGAAGAAUGCUUUCCUAAUAUGUACCAUCUUAGGCUUAAAAAUAUAGAUGAUUAAUUUUAAUAAAGGUUAAAUAUUUUAGUGAGUUAUGUAAAUUCAAUAUUACCGAUACUUGAAAUCUAUAGGGGUUGGAUGGUCAUUUGAUCCUCCCAUGCCUCUCAUAAAACUGAAAAAGUUUUCUAAUACCUAAAUAAAUGUAGGUACAUAUAAUUAAUUAUUUUUAUAAAUAAGUAGAUAGAAUAACUUAUAAUUACAUCCUGGUUAAGUCGUCUUGUAAUAAUAUAUUCUAUACCAAUAUAAUCUUUAAGAUCUUUGUACAGGUUUCUUAAAGAUAAAUUUGAAAUCAGAAUUCCCUUUUGGAAUGUCAUAAGUUUUUUUUUUCCGUGUACUCUCAUUGUACUAAUAAAAUUAUCCAUCAAACUUAAAAUAUGGUUCUGUUCAUCCAAAUUUAUUCCAUAUGCACUGGAAUUGUCCCCUAACAUUUGCUGAGAGUUAUGAAGAUCAAACCAGUUAUUUAUCAACAAAAUUGCUUCUGAACACUAAAUAUAAACAAUUAUUAUAUGUACUUCUUUCCAGUUAGAUGUUAGUGCACCCGUGUCUCCAUAGUAUUGCAUUGCUUUAGCAACGGUCCUGGAAAGAAGUUGGGCCGCGGUUUUAACUUUUUGACGUUGAACUCCACUGACAUUUAAAUGAAACUCUGUCACUUUUAACCAUGUUAAAUCCAUGAUCAAUGAUGUUGUUUCUUAUCAAUUUCAAUAAAUGUGGUACAUCAGCAAAGACAUGGACGUUUUUUUCCAGUGUUUGGAUGUAAAAAACUACUAUUUGUAUGGGUAAUUUUCAAUGAAUUCCACAAAGAAAUUAUUGAAGCAGUCAUUGGUGUGUCAUAAGAAUAAAAGACUGGCUGCUUCCAAGAUUUGAAGAGUCCUCUAACCAUGACCACUUGCACAGUUUGAUGUGGUCCUAAAACUUGAUCAAUUGCUUUAUCAUAGCAUACAUCAUGUGCUAUGUAAACUUCAUCAAAAGAGAGAACAACAAUUUUAUCUCUAUCAGACAUGGAUGUACCUUAAAUAAUAGAAAGACCUAAAAUACGACAACAUGUUAUAAAAUAGUCCACAUCAGUUUUGAAAUAAUUGAAUACUUGGCAAUGGAAUAGUUUGAAGCAGAUAUGAAUAAGCGGCUGUAGAAAUACUUCUGAGUGUUAUCGCUGAUACAAUAUCCUCAUUCUCCCACUUUUUAAUUUUUUUUUUGUCAUUUAAAAAUCAACUACAAGACAAACAAGAAAAAAAUUGUACAAACAUUUCAGAGUUGUCAAUGGGUAAAAAAGACACAUCAUGUUCAAAUUCAUUAACAAGAGACCUCGGGAUGAAUGGUUUUUUACAGUCAUCGAGAACUUCAACCUUUGGUACCUGCAUCAUAUGUCAAGUUGUAUUACAAAUUAUGUUAUGCUCAUAUAUAUGCUAUCAUAGGUAGUUAAGAAAAUAGUGAUAAAGAAAUAAACUAUUUUUAACAAUGUUUUAUGUAUUACCAAGGGACAUUCAUUGAAAGAAUCCGCGUUCGGUAAAAUUUCUGGAUUUGAGAAUGUUGAGACUUCAGCAGUUUGUUGGAUAGAAUUUAAUUUAACUCUAGAGCUUUUUAUCUGUAAAAUAUAUAUUAAAGUGUAGAGACUGUAUUUAUAAUUAAAACUAUGUACCUAUAUCAUACCUACCAUGCUAUGUAUAAAGUAUCCACUAUUUUUGUUAUGUUGUAUUGAAAUAAAAUUUAUUUAGUUCACACAAUAUUUUUUAGUAAAAUAAAAUUAAAUACUUACUUUC